UGUAAGCGUAUACCAAAGUUGUUGCAGUUAAAACGCUCGUAGUCGGAAUUUGGCAGUUCCGGAUGUGUGCACGUCGUGUGCGCACUUCGCGGGGAUUGCUUUUGUGGUCUUGCGUAGGAUGAGGCACUUUUAUUAGUGAACGUCCUCACGCAACCACUUUUUACUGUGAGAAAAUCAGAGUGCUCAAAGCAGGCAUUUGCCGUGAAUGUAUUAGCAUGGAAUAAUAGAAUAGGACUUGGUUCUAUUUUGUUGGUUUGUUGGGACUGAGUAAUGAUUAAGAGGGACAGUUGGGGGCAUGUGUAUUUCGGUGCUAGAGGUGAAAUUCUUAGAUUACCGAAAGACAAACUGCUGCGAAAGCGUCUGCCAAGGAUGUUCUCAUUGA
rnacentral:rRNA from 1 species